UACGUAGGGGGCAAGCGUUGUCCGGAAUCAUUGGGCGUAAAGAGCGUGUAGGCGGUCCGGUAAGUCGGCUGUGAAAGUCCAGGGCUCAACCCUGGGAUGCCGGUCGAUACUGCCGGACUAGAGUUCGGAAGAGGCGAGUGGAAUUCCCCGGUGUAGCGGUGAAAUGCGCAGAUAUCGGGAGGAACACCUAUGGCGAAGGCAGCUCGCUGGGACGUUACUGACGCUGAGACGCGAAAAGCGUGGGGGAGCAAACAGG
rnacentral:rRNA from 1 species